GAAUGUGAGGGUGAUCUGUGACAUGUCACCCCACUAAUCCGCCAGGGCUGAUUAGGCUGGCUGGCUGGGUGUCCCUUUCCUCCCUCUUCACUUCAUAUGUCCCUCCUGAAGCUGUGUAUCCGUGAAAGAGGACUACCACCCCAAAAAGAGGAAAUCCCUUUCCUCAGUCAAGGGUAUACAGCAGCUGGGCUCCCCUAGAACUUCUAAACAAGCUCUCAAAAGCAGAGGAAGAGAAGAGCCAGAGAGGAAGGGGUCAGGGACUAGAUAAGAGUCCUCAAGGUCAUACCCCCAUGACCCACUUU
ensembl:misc_RNA 7SK 7SK RNA